CCUACGGGUGGCAGCAGUGAGGAAUAUUGGUCAAUGGGCGCGAGCCUGAACCAGCCAAGUAGCGUGAAGGAUGACUGUCCUACGGGUUGUAAACUUCUUUUAUAAAGGAAUAAAGUGAGGCACGUGUGCCUCUUUGUAUGUACUUUAUGAACAAGGAUCGGCUAACUCCGUGCCAGCAGCCGCGGUAAUACGGAGGAUCCGAGCGUUAACCGGAUUUAUUGGGUUUAAAGGGAGCGUAGGUGGGUUGUUAAGUCAGGUGUGAAAGUUUGGGGCUCAACCGCAGAAUUGCAUUUGAUACUGGCAGUCUUGAGUGCAGUUGAGGUAGGCGGAAUUCGUGGUGUAGCAGUGAAAUGCUUAGAUAUCGCGAAGAACUCCGAUUGCGAAGGCAGCUUACUGGACUACAACUGACGUUGAGGCUCGAAAGUGUGGGUAUCAAACAGGAUUAGAUACCCGAGUAGUC
rnacentral:rRNA from 1 species